AUCCUCUUGUAGUUCAUAAACAUGGUGAUUGGGGGGUUCCCGUGCAUGUGAGAUGUGCCUCCCUCAAAUCUUAUAACGUCAGCACAUUACCCGUCUAUCA